UAAAAUAAGGGGGGAUGGAGAACAGAGAAAUAGACAAAGAAAUCGAAAGUAAAACAGAGAAUACAAAGUUUUUUUUCUUAAGGUGAAUCGGGUUCCUAUAGUUUUAUUUUUAUUUUUUCUCUUUUGCGUUUUUUGGUUUUUUUAAAGAAAUAACAAAGAAAAGAGGAAGGGAAGCUUACCUCUUUGGCCGGAAGCAUCGAUCGGUGCCACCUCCGUCGCGAUCGGAGCUGUGGCGCACGGCUGAACGGCGGCGCGGCGGCUUGGAUAUGAAACCCUAGCAGAGAACAAAAUGGGG
rnacentral:lncRNA from 1 species